UACAGAGGUCCCAAGCGUUGUUCGGAUUCACUGGGCGUAAAGGGUGCGUAGGUGGCGGGGUAAGUCUGAUGUGAAAUCUCCGAGCUUAACUCGGAAACUGCAUCGGAUACUGCUUUGCUCGAGGGUUGGAGGGGGGACUGGAAUACUUGGUGUAGCAGUGAAAUGCGUAGAUAUCAAGUGGAACACCAGUGGCGAAGGCGGGUUGCUGGGCUGACACUGACGCUGAGGCGCGAAAGCUAGGGGAGCGAACGGG
rnacentral:rRNA from 1 species